rnacentral:rRNA from 1 species
CCAGCAAUGCCGCGUGUGUGAAGAAGGUCUUCGGAUUGUAAAGCACUUUCGGCGGGGACGAUGAUGACGGUACCCGCAGAAGAAGCCCCGGCUAACUUCGUGCCAGCAGCCGCGGUAAUACGAAGGGGGCUAGCGUUGCUCGGAAUUACUGGGCGUAAAGGGCGCGUAGGCGGCCUUGUCAGUCAGGCGUGAAAUUCCUGGGCUUAACCUGGGGGCUGCGCUUGAUACGGCAGGGCUAGAGGUCAGAAGAGGGUCGUGGAAUUCCCAGUGUAGAGGUGAAAUUCGUAGAUAUUGGGAAGAACACCGGUGGCGAAGGCGGCGACCUGGUCUGAAACUGACGCUGAGGCGCGACAGCGUGGGGAGCAAACAGGAUUAGAUACCCUGGUAGUCCACGCCGUAAACGAUGUGCGCUGGAUGUUGGGGCUCUUAGAGCUUCAGUGUCGUAGCUAACGCGGUAAGCGCACCGCCUGGGGAGUACGGCCGCAAGGUUG